GGGCAUUGCUGCCCUCAUUCAAGUUCAUACUCGAGACAGACAUUCAUCAAGCCGUUAAACAUCUGAAUGCAGGAAUGCAGGUGGCAGAUCCUCUGGCUGCAGCAUGAAGAGGGGAAUACGAAGAGAGAAGGAGAGAGCGUUCUGGAAACAUCAUGUAGCACAGUGUGCUCAGAAUCCGGCGGAAGAGCCCAUUUAAGACACGAAGCUGCGCAUCAAGAGAGAAAGGGUGUCCGUGGUGUCAAGCUCUGUGCCCCAGAACGUCCUUAGCUGCCUGGCAGGAUUUGUGGAGAUUGCCGUUUGGUGAAAUUAUUCCAGCGAUUGAGCCACGCUGUUCGUGUGCUGACUUUGUUCACAUGUUAUGUGCGUUAGCUUCAGCGCUGGGCCCUCUGCGGGUGGAUCGGGGAGAAGAGGGUGUGGCAACAGCCGGUGAAGAGGGCAGCACGACGCAGUCUUUGCACAGUGUGGUCGGUGCGGGGCCAGCCUCUUGAUUCACUGAGAAAACGCUGCUGAAUCCCACACGUUAAUAGGUAACAAGGUGGGGCGCGUUUAACACCGCUGAAACCUUGCUGAGUGUUCUUUCAUUAAAAACAAUACUCCUAA